rnacentral:rRNA from 1 species
CAGUCGCCGCGGGAAUACGGAGGGUGCAAGCGUUAAUCGGAAUUACUGGGCGUAAAGCGCACGCAGGCGGUCUGUCAAGUCAGAUGUGAAAUCCCCGGGCUUAACCUGGGAACUGCAUUUGAAACUGGCAGGCUAGAGUCUUGUAGAGGGGGGUAGAAUUCCAGGUGUAGCGGUGAAAUGCGUAGAGAUCUGGAGGAAUACCGGUGGCGAAGGCGGCCCCCUGGACAAAGACUGACGCUCAGGUGCGAAAGCGUGGGGAGCAAACAGGAUUAGAUACCCCGGUAGUCAUGUCUCUUAUACC